rnacentral:rRNA from 1 species
UUGGAGGGCAAGUCUGGUGCCAGCAGCCGCGGUAAUUCCAGCUCCAAUAGCGUAUAUUAAAGUUGUUGCAGUUAAAAAGCUCGUAGUUGAAUUUCGGGGUUUAUCCGUUGGUCGGGCUUUUGGGUCUGCACUGGCGUGAUGAAUUCCUACCUUCUGAAUAACCAGCAUGUCAUUAAUUUGGUGCGCCGGGGAAGCAGGACUGUUACCUUGAAAAAAUUAGAGUGCUUAAAGCAGGCUAUUGCCUGAAUACAUUAGCAUGGAAUAAUGAAAUAGGACGGCAUGGUUCUAUUUUGUUGGUUUCUAGGAUCACCGUAAUGAUUAAUAGGGAUAGUUGGGGGCAUUAGUAUUCAAUUGUCAGAGGUGAAAUUCUUGGAUUUAUUGAAGACUAACUUCUGCGAAAGCAUUUGCCAAGGAUGUUUUCAUUAAUCAAGAACGAAAGUUAGGGGAUCGAAGACGAUCAGAUACCGUCGUAGUCUUAACCAUAAACUAUGCCGACUAGGGAUCGGACGAUGUUAAUUUUUUAAUGACUCGUUCGGCGCCUUACGGGAAAC